UACGUAGGCAGCGAGCGUUGUUCGGAAUUACUGGGCGUAAAGAGUGCGUAGGCGGUGCUCUAAGUCUGUCGUGAAAUCUCCCGGCUCAACUGGGAGGGUGCGGCGGAAACUAGAGUGCUAGAGUGUGGGAGAGGUAAGCGGAAUUCCUGGUGUAGCGGUGAAAUGCGUAGAUAUCAGGAGGAACACCUGCGGUGUAGACAGCUUACUGGACCACGACUGACGCUGAGGCACGAAAGCGUGGGUAGCAAACAGG
rnacentral:rRNA from 1 species